rnacentral:lncRNA from 1 species
UGAGUGUGUCUCUGUGUGUGUAGGGGUCGAGGUGGGGGGGGUCCGUGUUUGCGAUCUGAACCUUUGGUACCUACAAGGAGGGUGUCUCACCGAACGGUAGCUAAAACCUCACCAGAACCGCGCGGAAGUGAGAAGUCGCGGCCAAAGGCGCCCGCAGAAGCCUCCUCUCUGGGCCGGACCCCAGCCCGAGCGGCCGAAAGGAGCCCCCCGCCCGGAUCACAGAAGUUUACAAGGAAAGGGGAAAUGUCUGAAAUGGAGAUUGCACAAUCCUGUCUUGAAGCAGAAGACUCAGCUAGAGCACAUCUGGAAACACCUGGCACUCCUCAAUAGAAUUCAAAUGCUAUUUUAAAAGAUGUAAAAUCUGAGCUGCAACACUGAACAAAAGCUGUACUUGCCAGCCAGCAAAGAUGCUACCACUCUGCACAACAGAUAAAACCCAUACAUAUAGGGAAGUCAAAAGAGUCUUUAAGCUACAGUGUUUGAGAGGCUGUUUGUCUCUGAUGGAAAAUUAAGAAAAUGAGUCCAUUUCUAAGAAGAUGUGGUUCGAACAUACAGAGCUACAUAAUAUGAGUAAAAUAGGACCUAACAGUAGUGUUCUCCAGCAUUGCUCUGCCUUUCCUUUUCUGGAUGUAACAACAUUACUAAGAAAGGAAGAAAAAGCAAAAAUCUGCUCUCGGGGAGAUUCCAGAAUGUUGGAAAGCCCCAAAUGGAAGUCUCUGCUUUGGUUACAGGACAUAAGGUUUAAUAAAUAAAAAGAUGCUCAUCUGGGAUGCUGCACCAAUUAUCAUGUACUAAAUAAGGUUACCUACUUCACUCUCCAGGUAGAAAUGUCUAUCAUAAGCAUGUGCCACAGAAGGUCUCUCAAGUAUCAUUAUUGGCUGUGUUGAAUUUUGUUUUUAGUUCUCUUUUAUAAGGUCUGUAGUCUUACUUUCAGUGAGGAAGUGUUUUCUCAGGUUCUCAAGAAAGUAACAAAAUGCCAGCAUUGUCAAGGUCACCAUUGCCACUGAAUUAUCUUACUGUCUGAUUAUUCCAUCUUCCUCUGCAUCAUAUUAGCCUGAUGACUACAUUCUAAUUAUUUAAAGCGUUAUGUAAAUCAAAGCAGUAAAUGUAAUUUCUAGUCUUACUAGAUAUCAUGUACAUUAGGUCGAAUAACUCUAGAAAUGUCGUCAUAAUCAUGUCAUGCCUAAUGAUGACCUACUCAGCCCCUGCCAACAUCAUUCAAUUACUCAUUUCAGUAUUGAUUUUUCUCAUGCCUCUCUUCGUGGCAUUUAAACAGCCCUCACAUCUCCCCUUUUACUGAGGUGUAAUGUUGUAUAAUGACAGAGAUGCUUUGCUUCCCAGAUUCAUAAUGUUACACUCUGUUUCAAAUCCUUUUGGAGACAAAUUGGGGAAUCAAUAUAUAAAUAAUGACACACUUAUUUUUAAUUAAAAUCACUGCUUUCACAGAAAUGGUAUAUUAAAAUUAUUUUUGCUAAAAAAAUUUUAAAUACCUAUGUACGAUAAAAAGACUGCCAAUCCUUGGGAUCAAGAAUAUAAUUUGCCCCAAAUAACUUUUCUGUAAAAGUAGAAUUCUUAAUGG